rnacentral:rRNA from 1 species
AGGAUGUGUUAUAGCCCAGGGUCGCAUACAGUGGUUGGGAUUGAGGAAUUCAGCACGCCGCAAGGCCGGGUUUCGACCACGUUCGUGCUUAGGAUGCUGGCAUAAUGGCUUUAAUCGACCCGUCUUGAAACACGGACCAAGGAGUCUAACAUGCCUGCGAGUGUUUGGGUGGAAAAACCCAUGCGCGCAAUGAAAGUGAAAGUUGAGAUCCCCCUCAAAAGGGAGCAUUGACGCCCGGACCAGACCUUCUGUGACGGAUCCGCGGUAGAGCAUGUAUGUUGGGACCCGAAAGAUGGUGAACUAUGCCUGAAUAGGGUGAAGCCAGAGGAAACUCUGGUGGAGGCUCGUAGCGAUUCUGACGUGCAAAUCGAUCGUCAAAUUUGGGUAUAGGGGCGAAAGACUAAUCGAGCCAUCUAGUAGCUGGUUCCUGCCGAAGUUUCCCUCAGGAUAGCAGAAACUCAUUAUCAGAUUUAUGUGGUAAAGCGAAUGAUUAGAGGCCCUGGGGUUGAAACAACCUUAACCUAUUCUCAAACUUUAAAUAUGUAAGAACGGGCCGUCUCUUGACUGGACCGCUCGACGAUUGAGAGUUUCUAGUGGGCCAUUUUUGGUAAGCAGAACUGGCGAUGCGGGAUGAACCGAACGCGAGGUUAAGGUGCCGGAAUUCACGCUCAUCAGACACCACAAAAGGUGUUGGUUCAUCUAG